GCCAGGCAUGGUGGCGCAUGCCUGUAAUCCCAGCUACUUGGGAGGCUGAGGCAUGAGAAUUGCUUGAACCCAGGAGGCAGAGGUUGCAGUGAGCAGAGAUUGCACCACUGCACUCCAGCCUGGGCGACAGAGUGAGACUCUGUCUCAA
ensembl:misc_RNA Metazoa_SRP Metazoan signal recognition particle RNA